GAAAUCCUUUAUAUCAUUUAUUAGUGAUGUGCACAUUUUUGAAAGGCUGAUUGGCUGCUCCCUGGACCUCUACUAUACCCUGCACAGUUUCAAAUGUGAUUUGGAAUGGAAAAGAUACAACAGGAAGCUGAUACAGCCUGACUUCAUUUUCUCACAUACUCUCCACCCAACUGCCACCGCUCUGCUGCCUCGAGAGUCUGCUGUAAAAUGUGGAGUCCAAGCCUGCCAUCUUCUGGGGGGAAACAACAAAGCUCAGAUGGGUCUGACAAAAAUGUCUUUUGUCUCCUCCGUUCAUUCCUGCCUCCCACCAUCUGGUUCCUCUAUUCUGUCUUAGAAGAUUUAUGAGUAAGAUGUCAUUAAAAUACACCACUAAUCUGGUCAUAGAUUUUUACGUCUGCUCUACUAUUC
rnacentral:lncRNA from 11 species